rnacentral:rRNA from 1 species
GACUACCAGGGUAUCUAAUCCUGUUUGCUCCCCACGCUUUCGUGCCUCAGCGUCAGUGUGGCCCCAGACCGCUGCCUUCGCCAUCGGUGUUCCUCCCGAUCUCUACGCAUUUCACCGCUACACCGGGAAUUCCACGAUCCUCUAGCCCACUCGAGUCUGGCCGUCUCAACCGCCGUUCCCAGGUUAAGCCCAGGGCUUUCACGGCUGACUGACCAAACCGCCUACGCACGCUUUACGCCCAGUAAUUCCGAUUAACGCUUGCACCCCCCGUAUUACCGCGGCUGCUGGCACGGAGUUAGCCGGUGCUUAUUCUGUGGGUAACGUCAGAGCAGGACACUGUUUGCAUCCUGCCGUUCCUCCCCACUUAAAGGGCUUUACAACCCGCAGGCCUUCUUCACCCACGCGGCAUUGCUGGAUCAGGCUUGCGCCCAUUGUCCAAUAUUCCCCACUGCAGCCUCCCGUAGG